GUGCUCGGCCGGUCUUGCAGGCCCCGUCGGCCACCCGCGCCCUUGGUCCCGCCUCGGAGCCUCGGCCCCAGCUCCGGCCCCGACACGGGAGCUGCUCUUCCCUCGCGGAAGCGGUGCCGCCUGGCCCGCGGCAGCGCAGACGCCCUGCCUUGCCCUCAGGCUGGCCGGGCCGCCUGUGGCCGGAGAAAGCCCCAUUGUGGCCUGAGUGCGCCCCGCAGCCAGUCGGGAUUUCUCUCGCAGAGAGAGGCCUUUGUUCGCCUCACCCCAUCUGACUGCCCCGUGCUCUGUCCCAGCCUCAUUUGCUCCCCAAGCCCCAACCUGGGUUCCUGCUCUGGCAACAAGGAGCAGGUGGCAGCAAGGGGCGUUUUCGCGCCCCUCCCCCUAAUCACCCAGGAAAUCUCUGAGCUUGGCCACCUGCCCUGGGGGAGGAGACGCGAGGCCUGCGCACCCCACUCUGCUUCAUCCCUGGUUGCUCUCCCCACUCCUGUGGCCCCUCCGCCGGCGUUUGUGCUGUGUGACAUCCCUCUCCUCCACCGCUGCCUGGGGUUGGGGGCAGUCGGGGCAGUCAGGCCAGGCCAGGCCACCCCUGGGUGAAGAGGGCAUUGGGGCCAGAAGGGUCUGCACUGACCACCUCCAAGUUUCUGUUCUUAGGCUGUUCCCGCCGCAGCAGAAUAUAAAGUGCUGAAGCCAGAACCCAGACUGGGACGCAAGGCCCAGAACCUGCGCAGGGGCCACCGGCAAUCGGCCACCAUGCCCCUGCCCUGCUGUGCCUCGACUUACCCAUCUGCUGCUGGGGAGCAGCCUGUGGGCCUGGAGUCUCCAGGAGCCACGGUCCCUGCAAGGAGCAGAAGCCUGGCGGAGAGAAAGAACCUCCAUGGGAGGUGGAGGACAAGUGAUGGGGACAGAGUACUGGCAGCAGGGAGUUCCUAUUCAGCAUCCUCAUAGCCAGUUCCUCUUAGCCCUUCCUUACCUCGCCCGUUAAUCCGGUUUGUGCCUAAGCUACUACAUGCUGGGUUUCUGUCACUUUCAAUUAAGAGGCUCCUCACCAAUACACAGAUCAUGUGGAAAAUCCCAGUAAAGGAAAACUGACAUUUGUCAGAUGCCCACUGUUAAAUGCUGUUUUUGAAAAAUAUGCAUUAUUGCCGGGAACAGUGGCUCACGCCUGUAAUCCCAACACUUUGGGAGGCUGAGGCAGGUGGAUCACCUGAGGUCAGGAGUUCAAGACCAGCCUGGCCAACAUGGUGAAACUCCAUCUCUACAAAAACACAAAAAUUAGCUGGGCAUGAUGGCCGGUUCCUGUAAUCCCAGCUACUCGGGAGGCUGAGGUGGGAGAAUUGCUUGAACCUGGGAGGUGGAGGUUGCAGUGAGCUGAGAUGGCACUAUUGCAUUCCAGCCUGGGCGACAGAGUGAGACUCUGUCUCAAAAAAAAAAAAAAAAAAAAAGCAUUAUUGACCACAGCAUCUCUGUGAGGCAAAUGGAAGAACCACUUUGCAGAUGAGGAAACACUUUUUUGUGUUUGGAGACACUAAGGGCCACAGUGUCCACUUGUGCAGGACUCCACAGGGUGGGCCAGCCUGCUUCUAGGCACGGAGUCAGUGGGCCUUGCCUGUCCUGAGACCCCUCAGCCAGACUCUACCCAUGAAGACCUUUGCUCUGUGUCUGGGUCCUUCCUGGAGGACUCUGGGCCUUCUGUGGUCUGAGUCUUGGAGCACUGUUAUAUUGCCGUGCUGUUCAGCUCUGGCAGUCACUCCAGUUGGAGGGUCUAUGCCCCUCUGUCCUUGUGCCCUUUUUUCCGCUUUCUUUAAAAAAUGUUUAAAAAUUAUUUUUUAUUUUAUUGUU
rnacentral:lncRNA from 1 species